rnacentral:rRNA from 1 species
UACGAAGGGGGCUAGCGUUGUUCGGAUUUACUGGGCGUAAAGCGCACGUAGGCGGGUCCUUAAGUCAGGGGUGAAAUCCUGGAGCUCAACUCCAGAACUGCCCUUGAUACUGAGGAUCUCGAGUUCGGGAGAGGUGAGUGGAACUGCGAGUGUAGAGGUGAAAUUCGUAGAUAUUCGCAAGAACACCAGUGGCGAAGGCGGCUCACUGGCCCGAUACUGACGCUGAGGUGCGAAAGCGUGGGGAGCAAACAGGG